rnacentral:rRNA from 1 species
CACGGGGGGAGCGAACGUUGUUCGGAAUCACUGGGCGUAAAGGGCGUGUAGGCGGCUGAAUAAGUGGGAUGUUAAAUCCCCCGGCUCAACCGGGGACCUGCAUCUCAUACUGUUCAGCUCGAGCACAUCAGAGGAGACUGGAAUUCCCGGUGUAGCGGUGAAAUGUGUAGAGAUCGGGAGGAACACCGGUGGCGAAGGCGGGUCUCUGGGCAAUUCCUGACGCUGAGGCGCGAAAGCGUGGGGAGCAAACGGG